rnacentral:rRNA from 1 species
GGGAAAUCUUACCGGGUCCGGACACACUGAGGAUUGACAGGUGUUUCGUAAAGUAAGGCUGUUUUGUAUUUUUUUUACUAUUAAUUUACUGGGAAUUUUAUGAGAUAGCUUUUUCAUUUACAUUGCAAAUAUGCUAGUCCUUUCAUGAUUGUGUGAUAGGUGGCGCAUGGCCGUUCUUAGUUCGUGGAGUGAUCUGUCUGCUUAAUUGCGUUUCACUUAUGGCGUGACUGUGUUAUUAUGGUUCUUUCGCGACCUAAUUUUUCAUUCAUUUGGAAUUAGACGCGUCCGGUUCUAUGUGCACAUCAUAGCCACGAAGGCAACGA